rnacentral:rRNA from 1 species
UGAGGAACAUGACCUUCGGCGGGGGAUAGCCGGCCCAACGGCCGGGUAAUACCGCGUACGACCACAUGGGGACAUCCCUGAGUGGUGAAAGCAGCAAUGCGCCGAUGGAGUGCCUCGCGGCCUAUCAGCUAGUUGGUGAGGUAACGGCUCACCAAGGCGACGACGGGUAGCUGGUCUGAGAGGAUGGCCAGCCACAUUGGGACUGAGACACGGCCCAGACCUCUACCGGGGA